UAUUAAUCAGAUAACUCAGGAAAUACCUAUUAUUUCCAUGAAAACUCAAGUUGGUGAGCGAGAUAUUGAUUGUUGGAUUGUUAUUGUUUACUCUUGGGUGCCUUCCUUUCGGAAUUGAUAAUUUUAAUCAGUAUCAUUCUGGGAUUCAGUCGGUUCCCAUCAAGACCGUUGACGUGGGGCUCAAGUUUGUUCUUAAUCAACAAGGCAAGCCUAUGUUGUUGCAUCAAGGAUAUCUUUAUACACGUUUUCGAGCUAAUGCUAAUUCUAUUGUAUGGCGUUGUCGACAGUGGAAGGAGGCUGUUUGUUCAGUGUUCAUUCGCACUAGUUCCGACAAAAGGACAGGAGUCAUCGUUGGCGAAGCGCUCCAACAUGAGCGCUCUCACUGAGGUCGUGAUGUCCAAUGUACUGGCUCACCGCGUUGUUGCAGAACCUCGUCGAAGAAAGUAUGUGGUAAUUGAUAGCGCUCUGGAAGCUCUAGUGGAGUCGUAUAAUGCUGACGAUAUCAUCUUCUUGCUGACGAUAUCGUCUUCUUGAAAGGUGUUGCAUUUAAUCUAAAAUUGUAACGUGUUCAGAGCAGUGGUCCAUUCAUGAUGAAAUAAUUUUGUCAUAAAUAAAGUACUUUUCAGUUAA